ACUACCUCAGUAAUGGUGGAUGCCCCUCCCACACAGAGCUGGGCCAUCUUGGGUUCACCUGUGCUUGCUGUGAAACUCUCAAUCCAGAGCGUUUCCAAUUGCUCUUUUUUUGUGUGGGUGGGACCAGCUGAGUCUGAUUACCUGACUCUCUGCCUCAGAGCCUUUUUUUUUUUUUUUUUUUUUUUAAGUUGAAUGGUCGACUGUCUCCCAGGUGUUCCAGUCACCUGUUGAAAAGGCACCUGGAUCUGUGUGAUUUUCCACGCAGUGACCCACUGUGCCAGCUGAAACAGCCACACGGAGAUUCCUGGCACUUUUUUGCCUGGAAAUCUCCUGGCAUGGCUCCCUGUUUCAGUCCCCUUUUUAUCUGUUGAAUGGGAGACUCUGUCUCCCAGGUGCUCCUAUCGCCAGCUAAAACAGCGCCCAGACCUAUGUGUUUUGUGCAGAGAUUCGCCAUGCUGGCCAAAACAGCCAAGCUGGCGACCCGUGGGGCUCCUCUGCCUGGGAAUCUCCUGGUCUGUGGGCAAUAAAAAUCCAUCUGGAAAUGUGGUGUCCAGUCACCCUCCAUGCUUUCGCUGGGAGCUGCAAUCCUGAGCUGCUCCUAAUCAACCAUCUUGGAUCCGUCUUCCACAUUUCCUGUUUU